ACUUUAUUAAAUUUAUUUAAGAAGUUCAAUAGUACCUAUGUUUUGUUUUUAGAGUUGUUUUGUGUUGAUUUAUGAUUAACAACAGAAAAUACAUUACUUCAACAAAUGUUAGUUUUUUACACAUAAAAGUUAUGUAAAAUCUCCUAUGAAAUGGUUCAUCUAAGUCUAAUUCCCUUCAGGAUGCCUGUUACAAAGAAAAACUGAAGAAACUUUAAAACUAGAUAAUGGUAACUGAAGAAGUUGAUACAUCGUUAUUGAUGGUUUUAUAUCGAGGCUUCAGUUCUCCAAAUCCCUGUUGGAUGCCUGUUACACAGAAAAACUGAAGAAACUUUGAAACUAGAUGAUGGCAACUGAAGAAGUUGAAACACCGUUAUUCAUGGUGUCAUAUUGAAGCUUCAGUUCUCUAUGUAAAAGUGGAUGAAACACUAAAGAAGCGAAACGAUAAACUUUAAAGCAAAAUUUUGUCAUGCGAUUAUGGUGGCGAUAUCAGAGAACUAAUGGGGCAGAAUUUUACUAUCGUAGAACAGUUUUGCAUCAAAUCAUUGUAUAAUAUUAGUAUUUUGUUGCUUAAAGUUAUUAUGAAAUUCAAA